rnacentral:rRNA from 1 species
GACGAACGCUGGCGGCGUGCUUAACACAUGCAAGUCGAACGGAAAGGCCCUGCUUUUGUGGGGUGCUCGAGUGGCGAACGGGUGAGUAACACGUGAGUAACCUGCCCUUGACUUUGGGAUAACUUCAGGAAACUGGGGCUAAUACCGGAUAGGAGCUCCUGCUGCAUGGUGGGGGGUGGAAAGUUUCGGCGGUUGGGGAUGGACUCGCGGCUUAUCAGCUUGUUGGUGGGGUAGUGGCUUACCAAGGCUUUGACGGGUAGCCCGCCUGAGAGGGUGAACGGGCACAUUGGGACUGCGAUAGGGCCCAGACUCCUACGUGAGGCAGCAGUGGGGAAUAUUGCACAAUGGGCGGAAGCCUGAUGCAGAAACGCCGCGUUCGGGAUGACGGCUUUCGGGUUAUAAACCGCUUUCGCCUGUGACGAAGCGUUAGUGACGGUAAUGGGUAAAGAAGCACCGGCUAACUACGUG